UGGAAUCGCUAGUAAUCGUAGAUCAGCAUGCUACGGUGAAUACGUUCCCGGGUCUUGUACACACCGCCCGUCACACCACGAGAGUUUGUAACACCCGAAGCCGGUGGAGUAACCUUUUAGGAGCUAGCCGUCGAAGGUGGGACAAAUGAUUGGGGUGAAGUCGUAACAAGGUAGCCGUAUCGGAAGGUGCGGCUGGAUCACCUCCUUU
rnacentral:rRNA from 1 species